AUUUUUCCUUGGAAAGAAGCAAGCGAGCUUCAAGAAGCUCGCUUGAUGGAGGGGAGUGGCAGACGGGUGAGUAACGCGUGGGAAUCUACCCAUCUCUACGGAAUAACUCAGGGAAACUUGUGCUAAUACCGUAUACGCCCUUCGGGGGAAAGAUUUAUCGGAGAUGGAUGAGCCCGCGUUGGAUUAGCUAGUUGGUGGGGUAAAGGCCUACCAAGGGGACGAUCCAUAGCUGGUCUGAGAGGAUGAUCAGCCACAUUGGGACUGAGACACGGCCCAAACUCCUACGGGAGGCAGCAGUGGGGAAUAUUGGACAAUGGGCGCAAGCCUGAUCCAGCCAUGCCGCGUGAGUGAUGAAGGCCCUAGGGUUGUAAAGCUCUUUCACCGAUGAAGAUAAUGACUGUAGUCGGAGAAGAAGCCCCGGCUAACUUCGUGCCAGCAGCCGCGGUAACAC
rnacentral:rRNA from 1 species